rnacentral:misc_RNA from 1 species
GGUACGUUCUCUCCUCCGUCUUGUGCAGACGAUGCAGCGAGCCGUGCCUAGGAUGCUUCAAUCAAGUACUGGCCAACUUCGGACCGGGCGCGGGUGCUCGUCAGGGACGACUUUGUGGAAAGCUGGGUCUCGGCGUUGCAGUGCGUUCCACAGCUGUCAAUCGUUGAGUGCUGAGAACCUUUAUCAGCCCGCAUCUCUGGCGCUGAGAACAGAGAAUCGCCAAAUCCGUCGUCUGGUAACGGUGGAGCCAGCGGGCGCGUCUCUUGGACGCACCGUGACAGGGCGCUUCCGCCCGGUUUUGGCGUUGGAACGCGUCGCUGCUGAGGCGGUCGGUCGGCUGGAAACGCGCAGCUUCACUUACCGCCGAGCUGGAUGUACUUCAGGCCUGCUCCAGCUUCUUCUGGAUGGAAAAAAAGCUCUAGAUGAUACAUAGAUUCACCGGUUGGCUCCAGUUCUGCAGAGCGUGUGAUGGAAGGCUCUCGCAGAGCUGAGCUGGCCGACAUGCUGGCUUGCUGAAACAACUACUGUACGCACCAGUGCGGUGUGUUGGUACACUGGCGGAAAAACGUGUGACGAUUCGAGAUGAAACCAGCAGUGGAUAGUUCAGGCUCUCGUGAUUAGAAUAUACGCCGUGGGACUUGAAAGUAUUUGAGCUCGUCUCCCUCAGGACAUGUGCGGCUUCCUGGGUCUGAGGUUUGGAAACGAAGGACCGCAACGAUGGGGCAUUGCGCUCUCGAGAAACAAAGCACAUUUCAUUCGCUACGUUUCCAUCAUCACGCAGAAACCAGGACGGUAAUCAGUACCGAAUAUCGGGCACUGCGCUUUGGAAACGACGCAGAUUUCGUUGGUUAUGUUUCCAUUAACACCAAGAAACCAUACUGGUCUUUGGUACUGCGGUCGAGGCUAUGACACUGCCUGUGGCCCGACAAUGCCACCAUGUUGUCGCCUGGCGGAGCACUUUCCCCUGUGAUGCCAAUGGAUAUUUUGUUCUUUUGUGCUGGGCGAUCGAUGAGCGUACCCAGAGUUCCCCGCAUGCGCAAUGAUUACCAGCAACUGCAGGAGAGAUCUUAGGCAUGGUCGGGACGCUUCGGUGUACCUCAACAUUCAGAGCAGCUUCUAUUUUCGUGCAUUCGAGCUGAAUCGAUCCAGCGUACCUUCGGGCGUUGAGUCUCGUGUAGGACGCAUGCUGCACCGGUGGACGUGCAGUCGCAGUCGCUUCGAUGGCAUCGGCUCGAUACUCCGGUGUCUGGUGGAACCUGCGCCGGCGUUCUUCGCAAGCGUGGCCCGAAUCAACAGCGAAUCCCAAAGAGUCCAGCAAGGACGCGUCCACAAAUCUAAAGCGUAGCAUCCAGUGUUCUACCAAAAAGUGCCAACCUUUGCCUGGUACACGGCGCUGGAUCCCAGGAGCAGGCAUGAACAGCACCGGCCUGUUUAAGAGUCCUCGAGUUCUGGCUCCGUGUUCAACCUCAUAAUGCGCAGCACUAGCGCAACUUUUUUGCCUGCAGCAAUGCGAAGGAAAAGCGAUAGUCGCAAAUGUGGUAUUCUUGAAAGGCCAUAAUUUUUACCGCAUACGCAGAUACCGUGAAAGCGUGCUGAGAAGCUAUCUCAGGAAAUGCACCGGAACACCCGGAACUCAACUGCAAUAUUCCCCAGCAUAUUCUAGUGGAACGUGCAUACCAACCAAAAUUCGAUAUCCAAGCAACGACAGGUUGCAGAGCGCAGACGCACCAAGUUCCGCGCUUGCCGCACGAGUCUGAAUUUGAAUGCCACUGAUCCGCCCAGCUGGACAACGCAUUCGCGCUGCAAACGCUGAGCGAGCUGGUACCGGUGCCCGCAACGUUUAAACUGUGCUGAGCAGCGC